ACAUUUUGAGUUGUGUUACUUGUAAAUCAUCUCAGGGUGUAAAUGCUUUUGCUCUUGAAAAACAGAUUGAAGAAAUGAAUGCGUGUCCAUGAAAAAUGAGUCAUGGCACAUAUCUUGUUAUUUGAUGGAUCUAGUGUUGAGACCUGUAUUAUUUUGCUCCAGUCUUGCAGUUGCUGCUUUACUAGCUUGUACUUGUCAAAUUUAUGGUAAAAUAAUCUCAAUUUAUGUAUUGAACCUUUCUUUCUCCUCCUUCAUUCACACCUUAUGCUUUGGUGAGUAAUGUAAUAGGACAAGUAGUGCUAUGGAUGAGUGACGUUUGAUCCAUUUUUGGGGUAUUUCUAUGAUUUCAUACUGAGUUGAGCCUUUGUGCUAUGUGUCCUUUUAAUGUACUCCCCAAAUGUUCUCAAUUUACUUUGUUUUCUCACAUCGCAAGCCCUAUUUUUUCUGAUAGAUUUUGAAGGUAGAUGCUUUAAUUGAAACCCUGCUCUCCUCUCUAGAGUACUCUAAGGUCUUCACUCCUUUUGUUCUAACUAAUUUCUCCCCAAGUCAUGGAUAAUACAUUUAAAAAAAAUAAUUUCAAUAUUAAUAAAGUAAAGUUUUGAGUAAUUAAAUAAUUAUACAUGAAAUAAAAAGUAUAACUUUUAUUUUUUUGUAAAUGAUAAAAGUAAAUUAUUUAAGUUGUCUCUAUGUGAUCUAUAUGUAAUUAACAUGUUCGGCGUAGACAGUGGAGGAGCCAAAAAUUCCACUAAAGAUGUGUCAAAAUAUAAAGAUGGAAAUUCACUAAGAAGUCAAGAGGAGUUAAUAUAUAGUAUAUGUAUACAUAAAAUUCUUUUUACCUUGCUAACAAUGUAAUUUUCCGCUAAAGGGGUGUUAAUUGAGAUCCCUUGAAUACAUGUGGCUCUGCCACUGACCGUGAAUGUAGCCACUAAUGAUUGUAUUAGAAUAAGUUGUCUAUAUUACACUCUUGGGGUACAUCACUUCUCCUAACUUGGCUACACUACCCUUACCAAUCAAUGCGAAUUAACGUAUCCUGACUUGUUUGUAUCGAGGUCAUGAUGAUUGAUUUAAUAAAGAAGUUUAAUUAGUCACAUACGUUUUUCACACUUAUUUUACUUUUAUUAUAAGUUACAAAUAUAUAGUGAAUUAUAACUUACUUAAUACAUCCUUGUAAUUGAUAUUUCUUAGGUAUGUUUCUAUUAAGAAAAUAAAUAAAAAUAUCAAACUUACUAUAAAUCAACACCAAAGCUCCACACCACAAAUUAAUACUAACAAAUAAAAUUUUGGCUAACCUAGGCAAAUAAAUAUUUAUUUUAGGCAUUAUAAAUAUUUUGCCAAGUUUCGUCGUCAUCAUUAUAUCAACACCUUCAAAAAUCGAAUCCAUUGCAAACCUUAUAUUUUUAGAUAUAUUUUGAAGGUUGAUGAACUAAAACUCUCCUCUCUUCUGUAUAUUAAGUGUGAGUCCCUUGGACGACCAAUGGUCUAAUUUCAUACUGAGUUCUUCGUUGUGUGACAUGUCCUUUUCGCUCACUUUUCAAAUGUUUUUAAUUCACUUUGUCUUCUCACAACUUACCUUUCUGUUAAAUUUAGGCAGACAUUAGGUUUUUGUAAUGACCUGACCGGGUUAUUAUGAGUAGGCCAUUAGUGAAGAGUUCGGGCCAAUUUUUUUUACGGAUAGUGAUUUAUUGUUUUGGCUAAGCCAUCCUUAGAAAGAAUCUGGGCUAGGUGAGGUCUAGGAUCAUCUGGAAUUCAGUGGAGGUGUUAUGUUGAGUUUUGGUUGAGAUAUUCUUGUAGCCAAGGCAUUAUGGAGUCCAUAAGGCCUUUCCAAAUCGGAUUCAGGUAAGUAGAACUCCUGGAAUUUAUCUUGCCAUGGAAGGUAUGUGUUGGGACGUCAAGAGAAGGGGUUGUGUUGUAAAAAUGGCCUUUUUCUGGAGUGGGAGUCUCUGAUGUCUCGUCGAGCCUGCUAUAGUGACGCUCAGACUGCUAUAGCGGACGAUGUCUCGCUGUAGCGAUGAUCAAACCAUUAAAACAUGAUAAAUUUCUGCUAUAACGACGCCGCUACAGAGGGAUGGCCCGCUAUAGCACGGUGAAAAAGGUUUUAUGCAGAAACAACCCCAAAAUCCUUAGUUUAUGCACUUUGUGUUCUUGGACUUGGGAGGGGCAAUUUUGGGCAGUUUGCACUCAUUUUUCCACAGAAUUUAUUGGUAAAGGUAAGAAUUUGACUCCCCAACCUUGUACAUUGAUUCUUAAGCCUUAGAAUCUAAAUUAAUCCUCGUAAGGGGGAGGGGGUUGGGGGUUUGACAUGAUUCCAUGGUGGAAAAAACCCUAAGUUGGGGAAGAUCAUGAUAUAUUGGCUUUAUCCCAAAGUUAUUAGGCCAUUGGUUGAUUGAAUGUUGUGUUGUAUUUGUUAUUUUAGACCAAGAACAAGAUAAAGCUUUACAAAGGGUUCAAGGUUCGCGAUCAGACUUCUGAAGCAAUUUCUUGGCACCUAGAUAGGCUAGGUUUUCUUAAUUGAGUAGUUAGACCUGUUUUCUAUUGCAUGACAUUUUGUACAUUGACGGGAGGUUUCAUGCCGAGGCCUUCCGGUACAAAGUUUGUAAGGUUAAAAGUUGUUGUUUAUUGUUGUUAGGGCAAGAAAAGAUAAUAACUAAGGGGUGGUUUCUCUAGUUCUUGAUUGUUAAUCUUGAGUUUCCUUGUUGGGGUGAUUUGGUGUUAAUGGUAAGGUUAGUGUUAUGAAAUUUCUAGGUUAUAGCCAUUUCUGUGACUUGUGGUAAUCAAGGGGAACAAAUGUGUGUUCAUAAAAAAAGGUCCAAUAUUUGGCUAUUGGUACAUGCAUACAUGUGAUGGUUGUAUAAUUCCGGUUUAUGCAUGUAUGCAUGUCUACUGCUUAGUAGUAUCAUUUGUGAAAUGCAUGGGUAGGGAGACAUAUGAAAUGACAUCAGAUAAUAUCAUGUAAUGAACUUGUUAUUAUGACUUGUGGUUUACAAGUUGUAUUGCUCAUUGUGAUAUGUGAUUGUGCAUGAUUUUUUGUGAUUGUUAGUUGGCUCGGGUAGCAGACUGGUAUACUAACUACGGAUGGCUUGGGUACUACACAUAUACACUAAUUAUGGAUGGAUUAGGUACCAUGCCGGUACACUAACUAUGGAUGACUCAAGUACCACACCGGUACACUAACUAUGGAUGACUCGGGUACCACGUUGGUACACUGACAAUUUGAGUUUGAGUUUCAUGAGAGGACUAUGUAUGUGUAUUUGUGAUCAUGUGGGACACAUUUCAUGCAUUGGUUGAUUCCAGGUAUUGUUUGAUUUCAUGAUAUUGUGACUGAGAGUCUAUGUGUCUGUGAUUGUUGUUAUAUGUGAUUGGGAUGAGUUUAUGGUAUUGCGGGUUGUGCAUAUAAAUCUAAGGUAAUGGAAUUCGGACUGUGUUAUACUUGUGAUUAUAAUUUUUUUAACUAUUGAGUUGAGUUUAAGGAAACUCAAUGCUUUAGUUGUUUUUAAACCGUGUUUCUAUUUAUCUUGAUGUUAUUGAUUUAUUGAAAUGGUGGUUGUUAAGUUGGACAGAUGAUCGGGGUCUGGUGUAUGGUUAAGUGUGAUUGGUCAUGAUUGUCUAGUAUUCUUAGAACUUAUUUGAUAAUGGGGAUGUGAGUCAAGAGGGAUGAGUUGGUUUAAGUAAGUUGGUUGAUAGGGCUAGUGAUGGCCUUGUAUUCAUGAAUAUUAUGUGGUAGAAGAGUUAGGCUAUGAUUUGACAUUAGUGGUUGUUUUGUAUUCGGGAAUAUCUAUGUGAUAGUAGGGUUAGGUUAUUAUCUGAUAUUAGGGUGACAUCACAUGUAGGAUUGGGAAUCCUUAGGGUGACAUCACAGGUCUGCUUGGAAGCCAUAGGGUGACAUCACAGGUCGGCUUGGGAAGCCAUAGGGUGACAUCACAAGUAGGUUUGGGAAGCCUUAGGAUGAUAUCACCGGUAGGCUUGGGAAGCCUUAGGGUGACAUCACAUGUAGGCUUGGGAAAUGUCACGACCCGAAAAUCAGAAAUGAUAAUAUUUAUCUUAUCCCACUAAGACCGGUGUAACACCUCGGAUUGGAAAAAGGGAGAAAAAAUAUUUUUGGGUUGUAGGUUGUGUUACGAUUCCCAUCUAAGGACCAUAGAAGCUUUUACGGGUCGUACAUGGCAACCGUAUGAAGGGGGAAAAUAUUUUUUUCAAAGUAAGUCCAGUACCCUUUGUUUGGUUCAUCAAGAUGGCUCAUCAUCCCAUGUACGAGUCAUAGACAUGUCUCGUAGGUGAGUCCCAAACUUAGUAAAAUUUUAAGGGAUCAAGUUGGUUUCUACAGUUAGUGUUUACGAGUCCGUAGGAAGACCUAUGAGUCCUAGAUAGGAUCAAAAGUUAGUCCAAUUUCAAGAUUUCUGAAUCUUUCUACGGUUGAUCAGUACGGUUCGUAGAAAGACCUAUAGAUCGGUAGGUCGAGUCUACAACUUCUUUUUAAAAGGGCUUUUAGGUCUUUUCCUAGUUAUUUAAUCUUAUACUACGUCAUUUUGCCUGCUACCUGAUGAGUCCACGAAUUGGACUCAUUCAGGGCUAUAUUUUAAUAGAAAUUGUGUCCUCAAAUGCUUAUUUUAUCUCAAUAUCUGAUGAAAACCGUUAAGUUUUAGGUAUUUGAAAUUUUAAGAAGAGCAUAGACACUACGUCGCAAAAAGGAAUGAAAAGGCUGAAAAGAACGAAGAAAUGAAGGCCUGAGGAUCGCCGAGUCCACUUGGCGAGUCGCUGAAGGGUUUUACUUCGCCUUCUGUUCCAGUGUGCUAAGCCCUUAAGAAAAAGAUCAAGUCGGCGGAAAAAGGGAGCAGUCGGCACAUCGCCGAGCAGUUCCGCCAAACAGUACCAUGCCACCCAAUAACCCAGAGCACGAUGAUGCUGAAGGCUGGUNNNNNNNNNNNNNNNNNNNNNNNNNNNNNNNNNNNNNNNNNNNNNNNNNNNNNNNNNNNNNNNNNNNNNNNNNNNNNNNNNNNNNNNNNNNNNNNNNNNNNNNNNNNNNNNNNNNNNNNNNNNNNNNNNNNNNNNNNNNNNNNNNNNNNNNNNNNNNNNNNNNNNNNNNNNNNNNNNNNNNNNNNNNNNNNNNNNNNNNNNNNNNNNNNNNNNNNNNNNNNNNNNNNNNNNNNNNNNNNNNNNNNNGGGGUGUGAUUUAGCGAAUAUGGGUUAAGAUAAUUGUUGGGUCUUGCUUGUUGAUAGAUUAAAUGUAGUUUAAUGGUGAUUUCGUCUAGUAGUUGUGGUUGAAUCUAAUGGAUUUGUAGUUGAAAAUACUAGUUCACUCAUGUGUUUUCGGCUUACUCGAGAGAUAAGUCGCGAAACCAAGACCACUAGAUUGAUGGCCUAAGGAGUGGGUCGACAUGAGGCUCAGCCCAAGAGGGUGAGCCCUAGUCCCAUAUCAUAACACUCUGCUCGAGAGAGUGAGUGGGGUAAGGCGUAGGCUGGUCUUCAUGUGGCAAGUGGGUGUCCGAGAGGAACCCAUUUGAAACGGGGUAAGUUGCUCGAGAGAGAACUUAUUCCCACAUAAAGCUUAGCCUAGUCACUAUUACUCUAUAAAUGUUCUAUCGAAAGCAUGUACCCAAUAAUUUAGAUUAACCCGUAUUCCGGUCACAUCCCAAGAAUCCCCUUCUCAUUGUUAGAUUUUCUUGUUAAUCUUGCUAAAAAUAGCUUACUUGUGACAAAACCCCCAUUUGUUAAUUGACACUUUUGUUUCUCUCUUUAAUUUACAAUGUUUUUACUCGUUAAUAUCUUUAGCUACGACUAGUUAGAACUAAGUUUUAUUUCUCUAUAAAUUCUCAAAACCACUCCCUUGGGACACGACCCUAACCCUUUGUUGGGUUACUAUACUAUUGCACGAUCGUAGACACCUGAACUAUAAGACGUGUCAUUGAUUAUGCAAACAUCAAAAUGGCGCCGCUGCCGGGGAGUGGUGUUAUUUGAGAAUUUUUUAGAUUAGUAUACUUUUUGUUCUUCUUCGUCGUAGUUUACUAACUUAAUUUUUAGUUUUGUCUUGUUGGUUUGUCUGUAUCCAAGUAGAGGAAGUUAGCAGUACUCGGGAGCUAAUGGAGUUUCCUCCAUUAGAGGUAAUGUUGUUCCGAGAUCGUAUCCUCACCUUUAAGCAAUCGGAAGGUGAACGGAUUGACAAGUCAUGGGCAAGGUUUAAUGACUUGAUCACUCAUUGCCCAACUCAUAACAUUCCUGACAUGGCACUCCUGAACUGCAUCUAUAGAAGUCUUGGUCCUGGAAACAAGAGAGUGGUCGACCAACUCAUUCCGGGAGGCCUUGUAAAACAGUCAUAUGUGAAAGUAGCCAACUGCUUAAUCAAAUGGUUGAAACGCACCAAGAGGUAGAAAAAGACUUCAUGUUGGCCGCCCUAAUUGCUUAGAUUGAUGAGUUGGCCAAAAAGAUGGUAAAGAUCGAAUUCCAGUACAAAAGGAAGGAUAAAUACAUCCCUCCUAAUGAGCGAAGAAAUCCCAAGGACAAUGAGGUUAAACGCCUUGAGCGCAUGCUCUCAAUCAUUCUCCACAAGGUAACUGAGCAAGAUAAAAAGCUGGAAGAAAUGAAGGAAAACAUUGAAGGGAUGAAGCGAUUGAUUUGGUCUCAAUCCAGAGCUGUCCAGCUGCUCGAGAGCCUUAUGGGUCAUGCGUCGCCCGAUCUACACUCGCAACAAAACAUGAGGUUGCCUAUUGAUACUAUGGCUAACCCCAAAAAUGGAAUUUGACAGCUGACAUGUGUCGUGCCACAACGUUAACUAAGGCGCUGUUUGGGAGGCAACCCAAAACCUUUUUAAAUGCUUUAUUGUUGUCUCAGGAAUAACGGUGUGUUGAAUGUACAGGUUGAAGUGGGGAAAGUGGGUUGAAAUUGCGUUUGGCGAGUUAACACUUCCAUUCAGCGAAUCGCCGGACAGGUUGGCGAUCACGAUGAAGACCGCCGUUUAAACACUCACUUUGACUGAAGGUUCUGUAAAACUCGGCGAGCCAAAUGACCACUUGGCGUGUCGCCGAAAGGAUCGGCUAGUGCGACUAAUGUCGCCGAAUGGGCACGAACUGGACGGUUUAUAAUGGCCAAAAGUCCUAGAAUUUGAAAUCCUUCACUUUCCCUCUCUAUUAAUCUUCACAAACUCACACCAAUGUAGUAUUUUCCCUAUUUUAGCAUUAUAAUAGUCUUUUGGUUAGUUCAUUUGUGCUCGGAAGUGGAUUCCGUUGCUGCCUAGCUUUUCAAUCACAUUUUAAUCGGCACAAAAGGUUAGUUCUCCGAACCCUAAGUUUAUUUUUGAAUAGUUUGUACUCUUUUGCAAUGAUCGUAUCUUAUUGAUGUGUGCUGGGCCUCUCUGAUAGGAUUAUAAUGCUUAAAUUCCUAUUUAAAUCGGAAAUCUUCCCCGUAUUGAUUUGAUAGUCAAAUGUUCAUAAAUUGUGUGAUUUUAAAUGAGUGAAAUUAUAUUGGGGUGUGCUUGCGUGCUGUUUAGAUUGAUUGGGUGGAAUCUGAGUAGCCAUUGUUUGUGCUAAACAACGGGAACUGCUCAAUGAUAGAGCGAGGGACACCACUCUUAAGAGCAAAUAUCGUCAAAUGGCCAAAUUUGGCAAAUCCGGGAGAAACCUGAGUAUCCAGGGGCAAUGGGUAGUGCGGGUCUUGUUUGAAUUUCAUUAGUACAUGCUUUGAUUUUGUUUUCGGGGCUUGCGGGAUUGAAUUCGGGAAGGUGGAUUGAAAAUGGGCACGUUGGGCCAUUUGGCGAGCUGAGGCAAGCUUGCCGAAUCACUCGGCGAUUCACCUAUUUUCUUCAUCUCGCGUUUAAUUUUGUGUCAAGUUUGUGGUUUGAGUCUGUAACUUUCGGCGAGAUGCCUGCCUUCGCCGAAUGCACUCGGCGAAUCGCCGAAAGUAUUCUUUAUCGCUCUUUAUUUUCCCCCCUGAGACCCUUAUGCACUGCAACUUUCGGCGGACAAACCCUUGCUCGCCGAAAGUAGUCAGUGAUUCACUGAAAAAUACCUCCCCAUCGCUGACUUGCUAUGAUUUGAAGCCAACCCUUUCGGCGAGCCCGAGUUAGCUCGCUAAAGAGGUUCGGCGACUCGCCGAUCCACUUGGCAAGUUUUCCUGCAGAAGAUUACCUGUGCUUCUACUUGAUUUCUCAUCUAACUCUUUCCAAUCUUUUGCAGAUAUGACUAAACUUAACAAAGCAUGUAGCAACACACCAACCCGAGGCAAAGAAAAAGGGAUCACACUCAACGAGGAUGCAACUGCGUCCACGAACAAGGCCACUAAACUUUCCACAACUGGUGGGAAAGGCAAGGGCAAGGACAACCCCAUUGAGCUAUCAGAUGCAAGCUCCGACAAUACUAGUUUUUACACCAAUGACCCAACAACAUAUUAUAGUGAGAGUAUGGGUUCAGACGAAGAUGAACUGAUGGAGGCACAGAGGAAUGAAUUACGAUCUAAACAGCUAAACGACCCAUCUCAAAUCAGAAAUCCUCGAUCCACCACUCUGACUCCUCCAGUUUCAGAGCAGGCAAUAGUACUGGCACCUCCAGUACAGGUCCCCCCACCUAAAUCAAUGAAUAGAUUAAAUUCUGAGGGACUGAGAAUGAUCAUUGAGAAAAAAUGGCUGUCCAUAGAUGGGGUGAUCGAUAGGUAUCCUGAGAUAAUAGAGUGCCUGAAAUAUCACAAAUUCCAAACCUUUACAAAACCCCGUGGAUCUUAUAUACCAAGCUAGGUCAGGGAAUUUUACAAUGCAUACAGUGCAAUGGUACCUCAACAGAAGAGGCUGGUAUCGUCUUUCAAAGUAGUUGACUACGUGGUUGUCAGAGGACGGAAGGUAGCUUGUGACAGUGAGGUUAUCAACACAGUCUUAGGUAUGUCCGAUAAAAUUAAUGAUCACUGCCAGCAUUUGAUCAGAACAGAGAAGCUGGAUGCGAUGAAAAAGUGGUUAGCGCCGAUAAUCUCAGAUGAUAAUGCUCUGAAAUGGUUAGUAGAAGGUGUUUUGAUCGAAAAGAAAGAUCUGAACAUAGCUGCAAGAUACUAGUUCGUGUUCAUCAGUAGCACAAUUAUGCCAUCACAAAAUGAAUCAAUCCUUCGCCUUCCCAAGGCAGCUUGUCUUGGAUGCAUCAUAGAAAAAACCAGGAUAAAAUAUAGGGAUGAUCAUUGCUUCUGAGAUCCAUAUGCGUGCAAAGCAAAGCCAGACAUCUCUUCCUUUCCCGAUAUUAAUCACUACAUUGUGCAAAAGAGCUCGGGUGCCUAGCGAUGCAAAGAAGGAUGUGGAAUUGGUUGCCACCGCCUCCACCAGUAUUCGAAUGAUCUAAGCCGAAUAUCAUAAGGAACAAGCGGAAAAGAAACAGAAGGAAGCUAUGGUCACUGGAUAUAUACCUGCAGAGGCAUCUUUGCCUACUCCGCCCCCUGGCCUUCAGGUAUAUCUGAUGCCAUUACCACUCCUGCUGACCCUCCAGGUCCCUCUGCUGCCUCAUUACCACUAAGGCCUACUGCUGUUGUUGCCUUCUGUGGGCUGAUCACUCAGGAAUCCUUGAUCCGGAUGGGACAGCUUGCCCAAUCUGCUAAUUGUCGGACUGCCAACAUAGAAAGCUCUAUUCCAGGUAUGAUCCAGUUUUCCCUAACUAAUGCUGUGAAACCUCUGAACACUACCAUUGAUGCCCUAACAGCCAGGAUAGCAGUGUGUGAACACAACCAAGGAGCCACAGAGGAGGUAACAACCUUAAAGGCCGCCAUUGAAGAAAGAUGUGGACCACCUAAAGUCCACUGAUAUGUCCAUGAUCUUUGGAACAGUGGAAAUUGCAGAUGUGCCCGAAAUGCCUCAGACUACCACAGGAGAUGGAGAUGUCAUGGAGCAUACAAUCGAUCCCGAAUCAGAGGCAGAGACUGACGAAGAGAUGUUUGAGGAAGCUGCAGUGGAAGACAUGGCCGAGACUGAAGAAAUCAUGAUAUAUGCUACUGUGCAGGCUUCCUUGGCAAAGGCUCCUGCUGCUGGAUCCAAUGAAGCUGGUCCUUCUGGAGGUCACUCUGGGCACUAAAGCCCAGACAGAUGAAGCGACCGAUUAGCCAUGAUCACCUCUUUACCUCCCUCUCUGUCUUUCUUUAUUUUACAUUUCGGAUUAUGUGUUAAUUGCAUUUGAGGACAAAUUGCUUUUAUUUGUGGUGGGGUGAGGCCCACCUUUUGUGUGCUAUUUGUGACUCGUGUUUUUGCUUAUGUAGUUGGGCUUUGAGCUAUUAUUGUGUUAAAUAUUGUUUUCUGUGGAUGUUUGAGCUUACGACUCCUUUUAUUUUACAUUGCCAAAUGAUUUUGACCUUUCUGAAUUUUUUUGAAUUUUUCGCACAUUUUUGCCGCCCAUCGUGUGUUGAACGUGGAUGUUCUUUUGCAAAAUAUGAAUCUCAGUUUCGAUCAAUACCGAUGACUUGAAUAGUUCUUACAAUUGAACGAACAUGAAUGCGCGGCUACGAUGAGGCCAAAUGAAGUUGCAUAGACAAUAUGUGAACUCUUUGCAUCUCGUUAUGACUAGCAUAGUAUCGAAUUGAGUCUCUUGUGAUGAUCAUUGCACACUAGCGAAAGUGUGGAGUCUUGUUUAACUUAUAAUGUCAAUGCCUAGUGUGAUGAGCUUACCUGUGAACAAUGCAUGAUAGAUCCUAGAAUUUGCCUCGUUGGUCCGGUCAACUAAGUGAUGCUAUCUCUUAAUAUGAUCUUAGACAACUUCAAAGAGUGUGAGCCAAUUUGACAUAUACCUCUUUUGUGACCUACCUUGUGAGUGUGUGAUUUUCUCUUGAACACCCUUUGAGCCUUACCUUUCUUUGGAAGAAACUUGAUGAAAACUAGACCUUUCUUAAUCCAUCACCCAUGAUCCUCAUGAAGUUGUGGUUAGUUUGAAUAGACAACUUAGGCCAAAAGCCUAAGUUGGGGGUGUGGUGAAAAGAGAAGGCGAAUCAAGAAGUGCAAGAAAGUCCCUCCUACCAAUGGUUUUGAGGAAAAUGGAACCCCUCCAAAAAACAAAAAAAAAA
rnacentral:lncRNA from 1 species